AAGACAGAUUCCAAGACCCUUGGAGUCCCCACAGAAGUUAUCUGAACGGCGGGUCUGCGGACCCCGAGCAGUGUUUGGGUCUGUAGCUCAGUUGGUUAGAGCGCACCCCUGAUAAGGGUGAGGUCGCUGGUUCAACUCCAGCCAGACCCACCAGUCCCGGAUGGGGCCAUAGCUCAGCUGGGAGAGCGCCUGCCUUGCACGCAGGAGGUCGGGAGUUCGAUCCUCCCUGGCUCCACCACCCUUGGGCCGCGCGAAGCCAACCCCGGCGAGCCUAGUCCUCAAGGCCAAUUGUUUUGACGUUUAGGACUUGGUUUUUCCAAGCACGAGUUCUUUAACAAAACGGUGAGAUCGUAAGGCGUCUGAACGGAGUCGUAUCCGCUCAGAGCAACGUAGGUGAUGUCGAAGACAGAAUCCCAAGCG
rnacentral:tRNA from 3 species